UACAGAGGGUGCGAGCGUUAAUCGGAAUUACUGGGCGUAAAGCGUGCGUAGACGGUUAUUUAAGUCGGGUGUGAAAGCCCCGGGCUCAACCUGGGAAUUGCAUUCGAGACUGAAUAGCUAGGGUACGGUAGAGGGAAGCGGAAUUUCCGGUGUAGCGGUGAAAUUCGUAGAUAUCGGGAGGAACACCAGUGGCGAAGGCGGCGAUCUGGGAAGAUACUGACGCUGAGGUGCGAAAGCGUGGGGAGCAAACAGG
rnacentral:rRNA from 1 species